rnacentral:rRNA from 1 species
UACAGAGGUGGCAAGCGUUGUUCGGAAUUAUCUGGGCGUAAAGGGCGCGUAGGCGGCCUUCUAAGUCAGACGUGAAAUCCCCCGGCUUAACCUGGGAACUGCGUCUGAUACUGGGAGCGUUGAGUAUGGGAGAGGGAUGGUAGAAUUCCGAGGUGAGCGGUGAAAUGCGUAGAUAUCUGGAGGAAUACCGGAUGGCGAAGGGCGGGCAAUUCUCGGAGCC